UCCCUGCUUGGGCCACCGCAGGCUCUGAGGGGACAGAGCUGAGGGGGAGACGCUGAGGAGGGUGUAGGAACCAACAAGCAAUAAUAUAUAGAAGUGCUGGAAGUAGGGGUUGAAGGAAGUGAGGAAUUGAAUUGAGAAAGUGAGGGAAUUUUGUCGGUGGUGUUGAGGAAAGGAGUGUGGGCCUGAACACGUGAGUAUCUGAAGAAAUGGUGUGGAGAAAACAUGAGGGAGGUCUGGCUCAGCAGCAACUGAGUGCUGGGCUGUUGGACCCUCCUGUGACAGUGGGACAAAGGACAUUGUCGGAGAUGGAGUGUGAUGGGAAGGACUUGAACACCUGCUGAAGCCUUGGAGGUUCCCGACUGCACUAUGACUAAGCAGCCUGGGUGCAGAAAGAGUUCAGCAUUCAUACAGAACUAUACUGGGGAUUAAAUCUUGAGCAGC